rnacentral:rRNA from 1 species
CCAAUAGCGUAUAUUAAAGUUGUUGCAGUUAAAAAGCUCGUAGUUGAAUUUCGGGGUUAGUAGAUUGGUCAUGCCUCUGGUAUGCACUGGUCUUACUGAUUCCUCCUUCCUGAUGAGCCGUAAUGCCAUUAAUUUGGUGUUGCGGGGAAACUGGACUGUUACUUUGAAAAAAUUAGAGUGUUUAAAGCAGGCUAACGCUUGAAUACAUUAGCAUGGAAUAAUGAAAUAGGACGUUCGAUCUUAUUUUGUUGGUUUCUAGGAUUGACGUAAUGAUUAAUAGGGAUAGUUGGGGGCAUUAGUAUUCAAUUGUCAGAGGUGAAAUUCUUGGAUUUAUUGAAGACUAACUACUGCGAAAGCAUUUGCCAAGGAUGUUUUCAUUAAUCAAGAACGAAAGUUAGGGGAUCGAAGACGAUCAGAUACCGUCGUAGUCUUAACCAUAAACUAUGCCGACUAGGGAUCGGAUGAUGUUAAUUUUUUAAUGACUCAUUCGGCGCCUUACG